CCUUGGAGGGACGCAUCCGGCCCCUGGGCCUUAGUUUGGGGACCCCUGACCUAGGCAAUACCUUUAAAAACAUAGUACAAUAAAAAUAACUGUACCAUUAAAACAAUUAAAACAUUUAAAUCCACACAACAAGUUAAAAUCACGUGAUCCGUAGGCGUAGUCCGGAGCCAUUCCAUAGGUCAAUGACACAUCUUUCGUAGCUAAUUAUUGCACUAGAUUUUAGAAGGUUUGAUCAAAGAGCUACAUCUUCACUUUUUUGCGGAAGGUCAGGAAGGAGGGAGCUGAUUUAAUCUCCCCGGGGAGGGGCCAUAGGUGAGGGGCCACCACCCAGAAGGCUCUGACUCUUGUCUCCGCCAAUCACGCCUGUGAAGAAGGCGGAGCCGAAAGCAGGGCCUUUCCAGAUGAUCUUAAACUCCGAGAUGGUUCAUGGAGGGAGAUACGUACAGACAGGUAAGCUGGGCCAGAACUGUUUAGGGAUUUAUAGGCUAAAGCCAGCACUUUGAAUUGUGCUCGGUAGCAGAUUGGCAGCCAGUGGAGCUGGCACAACAGGGGGGUUGUAUGCUCCCUGUACGCAGCUCCGGUGAUAAAUCUGGCUGCUGCUUGUUGGACCAGUUGCAGCUUUUGAACAGUUUUCAAAGGUAACCCCAUGUAGAAUGCGUUGCAGUAAUCUAUUCAGGAUGUAACCACAGCGUGGACUACCGUGGCCAAGUUAGACUUCUCAAGGUACUGGUGCACAAGUACAGGUACAGGAGUUUUCUCCAGUUUUCACUUUGUUAACCAGUGUGGUUGUAAUAUCAGUCCUGAGUGAUAGGACAAAGUACAUUGGGGUCAGCAUCUUGUUAGUGAUGGGCAGCUUAUGUUGUGUAGGUGGCCUUUAUGGAUAAGGCUCAGAGGACCAAUCCCUUUCCUUGUGCUAUAUUCAAAAAUAUUCCAUGCUCAGCAUUUCUUGAGUCAGUUGUGCUUUUUAAAGUAAAAAUGAUAACGGCUCAUUCACUAAAAAUAACAAAUUCACAAAACAGUUCACAGUAGUUAUCCUCACGACAGGAACAAACUAAACACUUUUUUCUUGAGUGGAUUUCUUCUUUAUACAACUGCAGAAAACUGAAGCAACAAAUAAUUAUCUUGUUCACGAAGCCAGGAUACCCUUGACUGGUAAACACCCACUGUUGGCAUUGUUACCAGCAGCCUCUGCUACCUCAGAGCUCUGUUUUUUCUCAGUAUGCUUGAUACCACACCCAACUAACACAUUGUAGCUGCUUCAUUACAGUAACAGACUGGCUCUGAUUCUUAUAAUAACUUAGAAAGAGCUCAUAGUAAAUCAUGAGAAGCGGCAGACCUGCCAUGGCUUUCCCUGUCCUCUGUGUACAUUUCAAUAUCUCUCACUUAAAAAAAAAUCUAAAAAUAUGACACCUGCUCUGAUGGACUAUCUUCUUUUGUGUAAAUACAUAGGCACAUUCUUUUGCAUUCUGCUGUAAUAUGAAAUAGAAUAGAAUUGGAAUAGAAUUUAGAACUAUCACUGUGACUUGUUUAUUUGUUCUUUCUUUUAAUAUAUCUUACUCUUCUGCCCAAGAACAGAUUCUCAAGGGCGAUUAUCACAUAAACAAUGAUGACAUGUUGAUGGCACUUCAUUGUCUGAGGAAAACACGUGCAGAAACCUGCUUCCAUCAAUUUGUGUCCUUAUUUGGAUCAUACGGAAUAGGCACCCUCACUACAAUAUGGAAAAAUCCUCUAUAAGCUAGGCAAACCCUGGGAGGUGUUUAUGCACAUCACAGACAGUGAAGAUUUAAAAGUGAAAAUAGUUUUUAUAUCUAGUCACGCUUUGGAAAAACAUCCUUUGGACUGUAACUCCAAGAAUUCCAGAGGCAGAAUGUUGUACAGAGAAAUCUGAAGACUGUGGCCCCGAAUUCACCUUUCCAAGGGUCCCUUCAUCUGGCAAAUCAGAGAAAGACAAAUGGCAGUUGAUGAACUCCUGUAUCAGAUUAGUUAGUAAGGUGAAAAAUAAAACCGAAAGCACUCAAGGCAUCAACAGGAAAUAAAACAUUUUUAUUGGAUAUCUGUGUAGUAUGUAUGUUUUAUUUUAACAACACCUGGAAAACUCUACCGUGGGAUUCACUACACAAAAGUGAAACAAAAUAUAAACCACCUCAUCAAAACUGAAUGUAAAAUACAUCUAAAUUUGUCAGCUCGCGGGCCACGAGCAAUAUGGCAGGAUAGAACACCCCAAACGUUUCUACAAGAUACAGAGAAAAAACCCACACAGAAACACUCAAGCAGGCAGUAAAUAUACACAAAGGCAACUAGGAUCUUUCUACAGCAUCAGAUUCUAAUACUUUUACACAGCUUUGUCAGAAAGGUACAUGUGGUUUCUUUGAGGAUGAAAAUGUCAUCUUGGUCAAAUAGCAGGUCUGCUCUCUGCUGAGAACCAUAGUACAUUACCAACCAAUUCUGUGGUGACAUUCAGUCUGGCAGUGUAGGAAGAGAAUGCAUUAAGAAUACCUUAACACAAUGAAUCUAUUCUGGCAGCUUGAGCCUGGAUAUUUGAGGAUGUUUCCCCCUCCCCUUCCACUCUCUGCCAGGCUGUUCAAUUAAAGAAAGUAAUGCUGGAGUUUGUUAAUUUUUCCCGGAAGGCUGCAAGACUGGGUUUAGCUCUUCACUUUGGUGGGAUUUGGUCCUUUGAAGAAUAUAAGGUUCUAAAGGUAUUCUUGGAUUUUUUUUUUCUAUAUACCUCUCAGCUUAUCUGACUCAAUUAUGCUUUUGCUGCUUAGUAUACAAAAUAGAAAGACCCAAUAGAUGUUGCAGCAUGUCUUUUAAGAUGCUAUGUAGAAAGCGGAUUAUGUUGCAACACAUUCUAUUUGUGGCUUGUGAGUUAAAUUCUCCACUUUUUAGGGAGUGAAGGUGCAGGUGCACAGCUCUGAAAAAGGGGGAAUUCAUCAUUCAGAAAUGGUUGGUGAUGCCUUUUAGAGUUAAAGCAACAACAACCAUAUAUCAAAUCAUUCUUGUCAGCUGAAGGGUCCUUUUGUGGAAGGGGGAUGCGCGUCCCUGUUUUGGGUGAUACUGAAAACAUAACAAGUACUUCCAGGGUAUUACAAUAUAUUCACAGUCUCUCAAGGAAAUGAAGGAAUGAGUGAGUACACAAAUAAAUAAAUAAUCAAAUAAAUAAAUGGAGUCUCCAAGAAAGAGAACUGAGCUGAAAAGGAA